rnacentral:rRNA from 1 species
CGGAGGGUGCGAGCGUUGUCCGGAAUCAUUGGGCGUAAAGGGCGCGUAGGUGGCCCGGUCAGUCUCUGGUGAAAGCGCGGGGCUCAACCCUGCGUCGGCCAGGGAUACUGCCGCGGCUCGAGCACUGUAGAGGCAGGCGGAAUUCCGGGUGUAGCGGUGGAAUGCGUAGAGAUCCGGAAGAACACCGGUGGCGAAGGCGGCCUGCUGGGCAGUUUGGCUGACACUGAGGCGCGACAGCGUGGGGAGCAAACAGGAUUAGAUACCCUGGUAGUCCACGCCGUAAACGAUGGGCACUAGGCGCUUGGGGGAGCGACCCCCCGAGGGCCGGCGCUAACGCAUCAAGUGCCCCGCCUGGGGAGUACGGCCGCAAGGCUG